rnacentral:rRNA from 1 species
UAAGGAAUAUUGGUCAAUGGGCGCAAGCCUGAACCAGCCAUGCCGCGUGCAGGAAGACGGCCCUACGGGUUGUAAACUGCUUUUGUACCGGAGUAAACCUUGAUAUGUAUAUCGAGCUGAAUGUACGGUAAGAAUAAGGAUCGGCUAACUCCGUGCCAGCAGCCGCGGUAAUACGGAGGAUCCAAGCGUUAUCCGGAUUUAUUGGGUUUAAAGGGUGCGUAGGUGGCCUAUUAAGUCAGGGGUGAAAGACGGUAGCUUAACUAUCGCAGUGCCUUUGAUACUGAUGGGCUUGAAUACAGUUGAAGUAGGCGGAAUGUGACAAGUAGCGGUGAAAUGCAUAGAUAUGUCACAGAACACCGAUUGCGAAGGCAGCUUACUAAAGUGUGAUUGACACUGAGGCACGAAAGCGUGGGGAUCAAAC